CUCCUAUGAUGAUCCCGCCAUGCUAAUACUGAUGCACCAGACUGACAGUGUGUCUCUGGGUGCAAGUGAGUUAAACUCACCUUCUCAUACUGACUGGGUCAGUGUGGGCUGAGGAGA
ensembl:snoRNA